rnacentral:rRNA from 1 species
GACAGAGGUGCCAAGCGUUAGGCGGAAUCACUGGGCUUAAAGCGUGUGUAGGCGGAUGUCUAAGUACCUUGUGAAAUCCCACGGCUCAACCGUGGAGCUGCUUGGUAUACUGGAUGUCUUGAGCCAGCUAGGGGCUACCGGAACAAAUGGUGGAGCGGUGAAAUGCGUAGAUAUCGUUUGGAACGCCAAUGGUGAAAACAACUUGCUGGGGGUGUGCUGACGCCGAGACACGAAAGCCAGGGGAGCAAACGGG